AGGAAUCAGACCACAACAUAACACUUUCAUAAUUCAACAGAAUUACAAACAGAAGUCUACGGCCAACAGUCUACACAAGACCGGCUCUUAAAAGGAAUUGUCCUAUGACCUACAAGUCGGACACGUUCUCCAGUCUUAUUACUUCACGUCUGCAACUCCUCAAGGCCAACCAAAGCUAUCUGGUUGCUCCGUCCACCAGGGACCUGAAAUUUUAAUCCCACAACCGGGAUGAGACGAUGUCUCAGCAAGUUCAACCCCCUAAACCCCUAUUAGAAAGAAAAUACGCCCCGGGUGGCCUAGCCACAUCACACAGAGGACUUACCUCGCCUCAGCCUUUAUCUGCAGGUUAGCACAAUUUAUAUGAACCAACCACGUGCAAUUAUGAUAACCAAACAACCAUGGCACAAUCACAUUAUCAAACCAUUCAACCACUUGGAUCGUCUCAGCGAUCAAUCGACUCGGCCGAUUACAUGUCAUUCUAGCAAAUCAAUCAUUGCUCUCAACUACGGCCCUACUCGGCAAAUUUAAAUAAGUGGCAUCACGGCCCCACUCGGCGCGACCUUUAACAGGUGGCAAUUCAUGGCCCCACUGGGCACGACCUCUAAUAGGUGGCAUAUCACGGCCUCAUCGGGCACGACCUCUCAUAGGUGGUUUAUCACGGCCUCACUGGGCACGACCUCUCAUAGGUGGUUUAUCACGGCCUCACUGGGCACGACCUCUAAUAGGUGGUAUUUCACGGCCUCAUCGGGCACGACCUCUCGUAGGUGGUAUUUCACGGCCUCAUCGGGCACGACCUCUCGUAGGUGGUUUUUCACGGCCUCAUCGGGCAUGACCUUUCCUAGGUGGUAUUUCACGGCCUCAUCGGGCACGACCUUUCCUAGGUGGUAUUUCACGGCCUCACUAGGCACGACCUCUAAUAGGUGGUCAAUCACAGCCAAUCUCCCAUCAAUUUCUACACUUAGGAUUUCAUAAAGAAUCCCUAUAAAUCGCAAUCACACUCAAUUCAUCACAACCAAUCAUCAAUAUCAAAUUCUAAAUGCACAGCAGCGAUCGGCACGAAAUUCUGAGAGUUUAGGGUCCUGACAACAUUUUCGGAAUUUAUUAAAUAAUUAAAUUUAUUCCGAAAAUAAUUAAAUAAUAAUAUUCAUAUUUUUCAAGAUCCACGCUCAAUUUAUAAUAUCCAAUCAUCAAUUUCAAAAUCUGAAUACACAGCAACGAUCGGCACGAAAUUCUGAACAACCGGGAUCAAAAAUAAUUUUUCCUUUUUUUUUAAAAUAAUAAUAUUUUAAUAAUUUCGGAAUUAAUAUAAUAUUAUAAAUUUCCAGAAUUUCGAAGCAAUUAAAUAAUUCAAAAUUAAAACCCUAUUAUGUCCCAUCAAGGUUUAUUAUUAAAUAAACUAUCUUAACCUUUAAUUAAACACCCUUUAAAUUAAACAAACCUUUUAACCCAAAUCACAAUUAAAUAAACUCAAAUAUCCACAUAAACUUGCUUAACUUAGACUAAGCACACUUAGGGCAUAAUUAACCGUCUAAUCAAGAUUUAGUGAGUUAAACUCACCGGAUUAGCGAGCCGAGCGGACCAAAACGACGGGGACGACGCGAGGGUCGACUUUCCUCAAAGC
rnacentral:lncRNA from 1 species